AUUAGUGUAAAUUAGCAACUUCUUCAAGUAACUGAUGCAUCAGUAUAUCUAAAAUCUUGACAGGUUAGAUUUAUCCAAAGAUAGUCAUAUUUAGCUAAAAAUUACAGCAAAGGAGUUUCAUUCUACGACAAAACUCCACUCUUUGGUAUUAAUUCAGAGGGCAAAAUAUAUAUCGCUACUACUGGCAGGAAUUUGUCUUCUAGUUCUAGUUACAUGGUAAGAAUAUAAGUAAUCAAUCUAAGUGGAGAAUGUUAAAUUAGCUUCUAUCUCAAAAAAAAAAAAAAAAAAAAAAACAAAUAAUGUAGAAGCUAAACUAUUAUACAGCU